GAGUUGGGAAUGAAUGGAUAUUAGGAAGGACACCCACAGAGCUGGUCAGUCAAGAAUGAAACAUAUGCACCAAACUGAGAAAAGCUGUUGAUAGAGGAAUUUUAAAGAAGGAAUAGGGAGAGGACUACUUCUCUGUUUUUAGCUGGAAGUUCUCUCUAUCAUGUACAAAUGCUUCUGAUCACUACUUACAGCAUGUCCAGCAAUGACGCCUUGAAAAUGGGAGAUUAUUGUUGAUUUCACUACCCUAGAACCAAAAUGAACCAUGUUACACAAAUGAAGUUGGGAAAUUUCUUCACUCCGUAUCACGCACAUAUGUAGACAGCUCCAUAUCCCACAACCUCGUGAUAAUGAAAUCCCUCGCCUCUAGGAAACGUCACAGAA
rnacentral:lncRNA from 1 species